rnacentral:rRNA from 1 species
GAUGAACGCUGGCGGCGUGCCUAAUACAUGCAAGUCGAGCGAACAGAUAAGGAGCUUGCUCCUUUGACGUUAGCGGCGGACGGGUGAGUAACACGUGGGUAACCUACCUAUAAGACUGGGAUAACUUCGGGAAACCGGAGCUAAUACCGGAUAACAUUUUGAACCGCAUGGUUCUAAAGUGAAAGAUGGUUUUGCUAUCACUUAUAGAUGGACCCGCGCCGCAUUAGCUAGUUGGUAAGGUAACGGCUUACCAAGGCGACGAUACGUAGCCGACCUGAGAGGGUGAUCGGCCACACUGGAACUGAGACACGGUCCAGACUCCUACGGGAGGCAGCAGUAGGGAAUCUUCCGCAAUGGGCGAAAGCCUGACGGAGCAACGCCGCGUGAGUGAUGAAGGGUUUCGGCUCGUAAAACUCUGUUAUUAGGGAAGAACAAAUGUGUAAGUAACUGUGCACAUCUUGACGGUACCUAAUCAGAAAGCCACGGCUAACUACGUG